UGUACUACUGCAACUAUAUGCAACACAACAAUAUAAAGUAAGCCCUCUCCCCUCCCUCAGUUCUACAAAGAAUUGAGAAUCCUCCUCCCAAAGGGCUUGCAUUGGGGAAGAUGAAGAUGCUUGCCAAGUAAUUUCUUCAAGAGGAAGUGUUUGAUGUAAACCAUGCAUGACUUUGGGCCGAAAGGAUACGAAACGGAAAUGGACCAAAUGAACCAAUGAAACAUAGAGUAUCAGCCAUUAGUGGAGGUGGGAUGAUAGGAUGCUUGCAAAAUAGACUCAUGUUGUUGAUCUUAAUAAACUCAUCUUUCUCUACUCCCAAGAAGCAAAAGUUAGCACCAAUUGGGUUCAAGAACGAGGGACUGCUGAAGAACGGAAGAAGCUAGCUAGCAGCCAAUUAUGCCAUUUCAUCUCUGGAGCUAGCGUAUUAUGUCAAAGUAAACGAUCAAGAUUUAUCUUCUAAAGAACACACUAAAAACUUAGCAGUUCGAUCUUUAAUAAAAGAGCUCUUUUUCUUUUCUUUUGA